NNNNNNNNNCGUGUCCAACGUUUAACCAUCCGUCUUAUUUAAAAAAUUUAUGAAAAAAUUUUUAAAAAAUAGUCACACAUAAAGUAUUAUUCAUAUUUUAUCAUAUUAACAAUAAAAAUACUAAUCAUAUAAAAUUUUCAAAUAAGACGAACGGUCAAACGUUGGACAUGAAUAGUGUAAAACUGUAUUUAUU
rnacentral:pre_miRNA from 1 species